rnacentral:rRNA from 1 species
UACGUAGGGUGCAAGCGUUGUCCGGAAUCAUUGGGCGUAAAGCGCGCGUAGGUGGCUUCGUGAGUCCGUUGUGAAAGUCAAAGGCUCAACCUUUGAAUGCCGAUGGAUACUGCGAAGCUAGAGUACGGAAGAGGCGAGUGGAAUUCCUGGUGUAGCGGUGGAAUGCGCAGAUAUCAGGAGGAACACCAAUAGCGAAGGCAGCUCGCUGGGACGUUACUGACACUAAGGCGCGAAAGCGUGGGGAGCGAACAGG